rnacentral:rRNA from 1 species
AACGAACGCUGGCGGCAGGCCUAACACAUGCAAGUCGAGCGCCCAGCAAUGGGAGCGGCAGACGGGUGAGUAACGCGUGGGAACCUUCCCGAUAGUACGGAAUAGCCCAGGGAAACUUGGAGUAAUACCGUAUACGCCCGCAAGGGGAAAGAUUUAUCGCUAUCGGAUGGGCCCGCGUAGGAUUAGCUAGUUGGUGGGGUAAUGGCUCACCAAGGCGACGAUCCCUAGCUGGUUUGAGAGAAUGACCAGCCACACUGGGACUGAGACACGGCCCAGACUCCUACGGGAGGCAGCAGUGGGGAAUCUUGGACAAUGGGCGCAAGCCUGAUCCAGCCAUGCCGCGUGAGUGACGAAGGUCUUCGGAUUGUAAAGCUCUUUUGCCAGGGACGAUAAUGACGGUACCUGGAGAAUAAGCCCCGGCUAACUUCGUGCCAGCCGCCGCGGUAA